UUGCAAUGGAGCUUUUUGGAGGUGCUUCCUGAAACAGAAAGGAAUUAAUUCAAGUGUUUUUCUCCUGUGUAAGCAGCAUCUGCUGAUACUUCUACCUGGUAAAACAAAUAUGUUUGUAGAAAGAGGCAAGAGUGUCUAGAAGUACAUUAUUUGAAGUAAGAAACAGUGCCAAUGUCUUCAGUGGGGAAAAAACCCACAUAAGGAAAUUGAAGCUGAUCCAAAUGAAGCUUCUAGGGUCUGGUGUGUUUCUCCUGUGAGAAUUCAUGACAAGACAUACCUUAGAGAUAAGGUUUUAAAUAGGCCUGAUAGGGCCAUUGGUUUCAGGAAGGGUGUUGCUGUUUUGCCUCAAUGUUGUGCAAAGUGUAUCAGUGUAUCAAGGACUGAGAGAUGACUGCAUGCAGUCUGGAAGGACAUGACGGAGUU